rnacentral:tRNA from 1 species
GCCGCGGUAGCUCAUUGGUAGAGCUGAGGCCUGAAGAGCCUUGAGUAAGGAGUUCGAUUCUCUUCCGCGGCA